rnacentral:rRNA from 1 species
GACGGGGGAUGCAAGUGUUAUCCGGAAUCACUGGGCGUAAAGCGUCUGUAGGUGGUCAAAUAAGUCAACUGUUAAAUCUUGAGGCUCAACCUCAAAAUCGCAGUCGAAACUAUUAGACUAGAGUAUAGUAGGGGUAAAGGGAAUUUCCAGUGGAGCGGUGAAAUGCGUAGAGAUUGGAAAGAACACCGAUGGCGAAGGCACUUUACUGGGCUAUUACUAACACUGAGAGACGAAAGCUAGGGUAGCAAAUGGG